rnacentral:lncRNA from 1 species
UGGGUAAGCAGUGGGGUGUUCCUGUACAGCACUCUCAUCGCUUGGGUCAGAAUAUGGUGCAAGAUAGUAUGAAAAAAAUGCACAUGUAUGUGUGUCAUAUAUAUAUGACCAGGUACACAGCAUAAAUUGAAGAAACAUGGUAAAUCAUCUACAUUAAUAAAAAAAUUUUAAAAACAGAUACAUAAGGGCAUUCCCUUUGUGACUCAGCGGUUAGCAAACCUGACUAGGGUCUAUGAGGAUGUGGGUUCUAUCCCCGGCCUCACUCGCUGGGUUAAGGAUCUAGCAUUGCCGCGAGCUGUGGUGUAGGUCACAGACACAGCUUGGAUCUGGCAUGGUUGUGGCUGUGGUGCAGGUGAGCAGCUGCAGCUCUCAUUCAACCCCUAGCCUGGGAACUUCCAUGUGCUGUGGGUGCAGCCCUAAAAAGCAAAAAAAUAAAAUAAAAAAAACACAGAUAAAUAAUAAGAACCUACUGUAUCACACAGGGAAAUCUACUUAAUAAUCUGUAAUAACCUUGAUGGGAAAAGAAUGACUGAUUCACUUUACUGUAUACCCAAAGCUAAUACAAUAAUGAAAGUCCUAUAAAAUUUUAAAAAAUAAAAUGCAUGUGCAGUGUUAUCUGUAGCCAUUCCAAAAUGGAAGGAAGGUCCACCCACAGCAGAAUGGAUUGAUAAAUGGGACUCUGGAUAAUUCAGCACUGCAAUGAAAAGGCAUAAACCCAUGGUCUAGGCACCAGCACAGAUUCAUCUCACAAACAUGCCACUGAACAAAAGGAAUCAGAUGCCGCAGGGUGUGUGGGAAAUGGCCCAGGGCGGACUUGGAGGGUCUGAGAGAUGCUCACGUUCUUGACCUAAGCUGUGGUUACAUGGCUCUCUGCUUUUUAAAAAAAAUAAAUAAAUAAUGGAGCAAUAUGGUUGGGGGUUGUGUGAUUUUCUGCCCCUGUGAUAGACUUUAAAGAGUUUCAAAGCACUUGAAGUAUUCAUUAAUGGGGCACAUACUCGAGACUGAGUCAUUCCUUGAAACUUAGGAGGAAGCAAACUUUGGAGGCAAUUAUUUCCUCCACAGUAAAGAAUUUACCCAGUAGUAGAAAUGUGUGUGUGUGUGUGUGUGUCAUCUAUCUUUCUAUCUACCUACUUAUCUGUCUACCUACCUCCCUACUUAUCUCUCUUUCUAUCAACUAUCUACUAUCCACCUAUCUAUCCACUUAUCUAAUUCUGUAUCAUCUAUCUUCCUUAUCUAUCUACCUAAACAUGUAUCUAAUAUUUCUAUCCAUCCAUCCAUCCAUCCAUCCAUCCAUCCAUCCAUCCAUCCAUCCAUCCAUCUUUCCAACGAGCUAGCUCUCUCUUCUCAAACUAUGUGGCUUGGCUUUUUACGCUCUUCAUAAUAAGUUUGAUGAAUAGAAAUUCUUAAUAUUCGUAUCAUUGAUCCCUUUUUCUUUAUGGCGAGUGCUAUUUGAGUCCUUUGAAGGCAUUUUUCCUUACGUGAAUUUUAGUACGUUAUCCUUUAUAAGAUCAACAGAGGGAUUGUUCACAUUUACAGCCAGAAUCCGUGUGGAUUGGACAGUUGUGGGUAGUGUGACGUGAGGAUCAAGUUUCAUUUUCUUUUCUUUUCGGACCAGCCUUUUGGACCAGCGCUGUUUCCUGGAAAGGCUCCGACUCGCUGCCUUUUCACCUUGGUCAUCAAUCCUUGCUACUGAUGUGUGUAAUCUCUCCUUUGCCAAUCAAAUGCAGUCUUCUUAUAGUAGAUUUAAAUCUUGAAAUAUGGUAGAGUCAGUUCACCAACUUUUUAUUCCUCCUUCAAGAAUAGAUUUCCUGGGAAUUCCUGUUGUGGCUCAGUGGUAAUAAAUCUGACUAGGAUCCUUGAGGUUGCGGGUUCAAUCCCUGGCCUCGCUCAGUGGGUUCAGGCUCUGCUGUUGCCAUGAGCUGUGGUGUAGGUUCCAGACGCGGCUUGGAUCCGGCAUUGCUGUGGCUGUGGUAUAGGCCAGCAGGUGCAGCUCUGAUUUGACCUCUAGCCUGUGAACUUUCAUAUACCGCAGGUGCAGUCCUAAAAAGCCAAAAAGAAAAAAGAAAAA